rnacentral:rRNA from 1 species
AUUGAACGCUGGCGGCAGGCCUAACACAUGCAAGUCGAGCGAGUGGCGGACGGGUGAGUUAUGUAUGGGGAUCUGCCUGAUGGAGGGGGAUAACUACCGGAAACUGUAGCUAAUACCGCAUACCAUAGGAUGCACCCAUAUGGGAUUAGCUUGUUGGUGAGGUAAAGGCUCACCAAGGCGACGAUCCCUAGCUGGUCUGAGAGGAUGACCAGCCACACUGGGACUGAGACACGGCCCAGACUCCUACGGGAGGCAGCAGUGGGGAAUAUUGCGCAAUGGGGGCAAGCCUGAUGCAGCCAUGCCGCGUGUAUGAAGAAGGCCUUCGGGUUGUAAAGUACUUUCAGUCGGGAGGCGUUAACGACAGAAGAAGCACCGGCUAACUCCUUGCCAGCAGCCGCGGUAAUGC